rnacentral:rRNA from 1 species
CACGUAGGGUGCGAGCGUUGUCCGGAAUUAUUGGGCGUAAAGAGCUCGUAGGCGGUGUGUCACGUCGGCCGUGAAAACCUGCAGCUUAACUGUGGGCGUGCGGUCGAUACGGGCAUCACUGGAGUUCGGCAGGGGAGACUGGAAUUCCUGGUGUAGCGGUGAAAUGCGCAGAUAUCAGGAGGAACACCGGUGGCGAAGGCGGGUCUCUGGGCCGAUACUGACGCUGAGGAGCGAAAGCUUGGGGAGCAAACAGG